AACCGCGGUUAUACGAGAGGCCCAAGUUGAUAGGGAUCGGCGUAAAGGGUGGUUAAGGGUAACUACAAAAUAAAGCCGAACGUUCUCAAUGCUGUUAUACGCCCCCCGAGAACUCGAAGCCCCACCACGAAAGUGGCUUUACCUAUCCUGAACCCACGAAAGCCAGGGUACAAACUGGGAUUAGAUACCCCACUAUGCCUGGCUGUAAACAUUGAUAAGAUAUUACACGCAUUAUCCGCCUGGGAACUACGAGCACUAGCUUAAAACCCCAAGGACUUGGCGGUGCUUUAGACCCCCCUAGAGGAGCCUGUUUCUAGAACCGAUAAUCCCCGUUCAACCUCACCCUUCCCUGUAAAUCCUGCCUAUAUACCGCCGUCGCCAGCCCACCCUGUGAAGGAUCUAAAGUGAGCUAAACUGGCACUGCCCCCAAUGUCAGGUCGAGGUGUAGCAUAUGGAAGGGGAAGCAAUGGGCUACAUUCGCUGACCCAGUGAAUCACGAAAGGCAUACUGAAAGGCAUGUCUGAAGGUGGAUUUAGCAGUAAGGGGGGAGCAGAGCGCCCCCCUGAAGUCGGCUCUGAAGCGUGCACACAUCGCCCGUCACUCUCCCCGAAUUAGUCUACACCAGUAACUAACAACACGGACGCCACCGAGGGGAGGCAAGUCGUAA
rnacentral:rRNA from 1 species